rnacentral:rRNA from 1 species
UACGUAGGGUGCGAGCGUUAAUCGGAAUUACUGGGCGUAAAGCGUGCGCAGGCGGUUUUGUAAGCCAGAUGUGAAAUCCCCGGGCUCAACCUGGGAAUGGCAUUUGGGACUGCAAGGCUGGAGUGCGGCAGAGGAGACUGGAAUUCCUGGUGUAGCAGUGAAAUGCGUAGAUAUCAGGAGGAACACCUGUGGCGAAAGCGGCUCACUGGACCAUAACUGACGCUGAUGCACGAAAGCUAGGGGAGCAAACAGG